AGUGAACGCUGGCGGUAGGCCUAACACAUGCAAGUCGAACGGCAGCACAGUAAGAGCUUGCUCUUACGGGUGGCGAGUGGCGGACGGGUGAGGAAUACAUCGGAAUCUACUUUUUCGUGGGGGAUAACGUAGGGAAACUUACGCUAAUACCUCAUAUGACCUACGGGUGAAAGCAGGGGAUCUUCGGACCUUGCGCGAUUGAAUGAGCCGAUGUCGGAUUAGCUAGUUGGCGGGGUAAAGGCCCACCAAGGCGACGAUCCGUAGCUGGUCUGAGAGGAUGAUCAGCCACACUGGAACUGAGACACGGUCCAGACUCCUACGGGAGGCAGCAGUGGGGAAUAUUGGACAAUGGGCGCAAGCCUGAUCCAGCCAUACCGCGUGGGUGAAGAAGGCCUUCGGGUUGUAAAGCCCUUUUGUUGGGAAAGAAAAGCAGCAGGUUAACACCCCGCUGUUCUGACGGUACCCAAAGAAUAAGCACCGGCUAACUUCGUG
rnacentral:rRNA from 1 species